rnacentral:rRNA from 1 species
GGCGAACGGGUGAGUAACACGUGGGUGAUCUGCCCUGCACUUUGGGAUAAGCCUGGGAAACUGGGUCUAAUACCGAAUAUGACCACGCGCUUCAUGGUGUGUGGUGGAAAGCUUUUGCGGUGUGGGAUGAGCCCGCGGCCUAUCAGCUUGUUGGUGGGGUAAUGGCCUACCAAGGCGACGACGGGUAGCCGGCCUGAGAGGGUGACCGGCCACACUGGGACUGAGAUACGGCCCAGACUCCUACGGGAGGCAGCAGUGGGGAAUAUUGCACAAUGGGCGCAAGCCUGAUGCAGCGACGCCGCGUGAGGGAUGACGGCCUUCGGGUUGUAAACCUCUUUCAGCACAGACGAAGCGCAAGUGACGGUAUGUGCAGAAGAAGGACCGGCCAACUACGUGCCAGCAGCCGCGGUAAUACGUAGGGUCCGAGCGUUGUCCGGAAUUACUGGGCGUAAAGAGCUCGUAGGUGGUUUGUCGCGUUGUUCGUGAAAACUCACAGCUUAACUGUGGGCGUGCGGGCGAUACGGGCAGACUUGAGUACUGCAGGGGAGACUGGAAUUCCUGGUGUAGCGGUGGAAUGCGCAGAUAUCAGGAGGAACACCGGUGGCGAAGGCGGGUCUCUGGGCAGUAACUGACGCUGAGGAGCGAAAAGCGUGGGGAGCGAACAGGAUUAGAUACCCUGGUAGUCCACGCCGUAAACGGU